AUGGAUGGCCGAAUUCUGUUGGUAAAGCAUGUGCUCUCUGCUAUGGUGGUGUUUCAGAUGAUGGUCAUUGAGAUGCCUGCGUGGCUGCGGAAAAGAAUCGACAAACUCAGAAGGGGUUUUCUUUGGGAAGGAAAAGAAUUUGCAGUGGGAGGCAAGUGUUUGGUUAGCUGGCGCAUCUUUGCAGGCCAAUGA
rnacentral:rRNA from 1 species